AGAAGAGAGAGAGCACCGCCU
rnacentral:miRNA from 1 species